UACGUAGGGUGCAAGCGUUAAUCGGAAUUACUGGGCGUAAAGCGUGCGCAGGCGGUUUUGUAAGUCAGAUGUGAAAUCCCCGGGCUUAACCCUGGGAACUGCGUUUGAAACUACAAGGCUAGAGUGUGACAGAGGGGGGUGGAAUUCCACGUGUAGCAGUGAAAUGCGUAGAGAUGUGGAGGAACACCGAUGGCGAAGGCAGCCCCCUGGGUUAACACUGACGCUCAGGCACGAAAGCGUGGGGAGCAAACAGG
rnacentral:rRNA from 1 species